UCUUUGCUAGUAUAUCGGUUAGUACACGCGCCUGUCACUGAACUGAUGCAACGCGCGAAAGCUGGGUUCGACUCCCAGGCAGAGAG